CUGACAGUAGUCAUGGUUUCGGUUUAGAUUUGGGAGCGAUGUCAUUCUCAACCAUCGCGCUUUUAACGUAUAUCUCGCUCAAAAUCUUACUUUUAGCAGUUUCAAAUUUCUCGAAGAGAUGAGACUGCGAGUCUGCUACUACACAGCUUCGUUUACUUACCGAAAAAACAUGAAAAACAUGAAUCUACGCUUACCUGGUCUGUUUGCCGACCUUCAGAACUGCGAGACUCCAUGCUAAGAAGACGUGGUUGCAGGACGCCAUCACGCAGAUGUCUCACUUCCUGAGAGAGGCAAGGCAUGGCGUAGACCGGAGCCUUCAAGCAUCGCUAUUCGCUGCUUCAACAUUUGCACCUGCAGAAGAACAAAGGAUCACUUGCCAGUCUCGCUGGAGGUUGCUGAGGUGGCCGCACAUCAGCCAACUGUGUUCUAAUGUGCUCAAUGGAGA